GACAUUUGUUUCUCAUCUCCCAAGUCCUUUUCAGCAUCAAAGAUUCAACAGUUUAAGCAGAUGUUUGUGCUAGUAAGACCUUUUCUGGUCCUCAGAUGCCAUAUUGCAAGUUCCUCAGAGAAUACCUGUUUGCUUUCAUAUGAGACCCUUGGGGACCUAGAAGCUGUUUCAUGUCAAUUACCUGUAUUUCCAGAUGCUGAUUUGCUGGUCUAACUAACAAAUAAAUUAUUUUUAUUAUUUAUAUUAUUUUUUAUU
rnacentral:lncRNA from 1 species